rnacentral:rRNA from 1 species
GCCUAUCAUGCAGUCGAACGCUUCUUUCCUCCCGAGUGCUUGCACUCAAUUGGAAAGAGGAGGGGAGGACGGGUGAGUAACACGUGGGGUAACCUACCCAUCAGAGGGGGAUAACACUUGGAAACAGGUGCUAAUACCGCAUAACAGUUUAUGCCGCAUGGCAUAAGAGUGAAAGGCGCUUUCGGGUGUCGCUGAUGGAUGGACCCGCGGUGCAUUAGCUAGUUGGUGAGGUAACGGCUCACCAAGGCCACGAUGCAUAGCCGACCUGAGAGGGUGAUCGGCCACACUGGGACUGAGACACGGCCCAGACUCCUACGGGAGGCAGCAGUAGGGAAUCUUCGGCAAUGGACGAAAGUCUGACCGAGCAACGCCGCGUGAGUGAAGAAGGUUUUCGGAUCGUAAAACUCUGUUGUUAGAGAAGAACAAGGACGUUAGUAACUGAACGUCCCCUGACGGUAUCUAACCAGAAAGCCACGGCUAACUACGUGCCAGCAGCCGCGGUAAUACGUAGGUGGCAAGCGUUGUCCGGAUUUAUUGGGCGUAAAGCGAGCGCAGGCGGUUUCUUAAGUCUGAUGUGAAAGCCCCCGGCUCAACCGGGGAGGGUCAUUGGAAACUGGGAGACUUGAGUGCAGAAGAGGAGAGUGGAAUUCCAUGUGUAGCGGUGAAAUGCGUAGAUAUA